rnacentral:rRNA from 1 species
UUAGAGGAAGAGGAGCCGGUAUCAGGCUCAAUAUGCCCAUGACACCUAGCCCAGCCACACCCCCAAGGGUACUCAGCAGUGAUCAACAUUGUAAACUAGCGAAAGCUAAAUUCAGUUACCAGCUAAAAAAACCGGUCAAUCUCGUGCCAGCCACCGCGGUUAUACGGGCAGGUUUAAAUUGAUAACGUCGGCUCAAAGCGUGGUUAGAUUCUAACCUCAAUAAAGCAAAAAAAAAGCCCGGCUGUGAUAUGCUUUCGCUUUUAAUAACCCCAAUCACGAAAGUAGCUUUAACCCUAUUGAAUCCACGAUCGCUAGGGCACAAACUGGGAUUAGAUACCCCACUAUGCCUAGCCCUAAACUUUGAUUUAUCCGCCUGGGAACUACGAGCGUCAGCUUAAAACCCAAAAGACUUGGCGGUGCCCUAUACCACCUAGAGGAGCCUGUUCUAUAAUCGAUAAUCCCCGAUUCACCUCACCAUCUCUUGCCAAUACCGCCUGUAUACCUCCGUCGCCAACUGACCCCCUAAGGGCAAAAGUCGGUUAAAUGGCUUUCCUCCAGUAAGUCAGGUCAAGGUGCAGCGAAUGAGAUGGGAAGAAAUGGGCUACAUUUUCUACUAAUAGACUAUACGAAAGAUCACUAUGAAAUCUGAUUGGAAGGUGGAUUUAGCAGUAAAAAGAGACUAGAGCGCUCUUUUUAAGUUGGCUCUAGGGCGCGUACACACCGCCCGUC